ACACACACUCAAACAUACAAACAAUGCUUACCACAUUAUCAAAUGUUAUCAAACUGUAUGAUGCAUUAUAUUUAGAGACGAGAGGAGAGGAAAUGUGU